rnacentral:rRNA from 1 species
GGAUCCAGACUUUGAUUAUGGCUCAGGAUGAACGCUGGCGGCGCAUUUAAGACAUGCAAGUCGAACGAAAAUUUACGCUUAAAGAGUUGAUUAGUUUACUAAGAGAUGAUUUAUUGUAAAUUUUAGUGGCGGACUGGUGAGUAAUACAUAGGUAAUCUGCCUUUUAGAGGGGAAUAACUAGGAGAAAUCCUAGCUAAUACCGCGUAAGACCACACUUAGGCAUCUAAGAGAGGUCAAAGGAGUAAUCCGCUAAAAGAUGAGCCUGUGGCUGAUUAGUUAGUUGGUGGGGUAAGAGCCUACCAAGACGAUGAUCAGUAGCCGAGCUGAGAGGCUGGCCGGCCACAUUGGGACUGAGAUACGGCCCAGACUCCUACGGGAGGCAGCAGUUGGGAAUAUUGGACAAUGGAGGAAACUCUGAUCCAGUGACGCCGCGUGAAGGAAGAAGGUCUUCGGAUUGUAAACUUAUUUUAUCAGGGAAGAAGAAAGUGACAGUACCUGAAGAAAAAGGACCGGCAAACUACGUGCCAGCAGCCGCGGUAAUACGUAGGGUCCAAGCGUUAUCCGGAUUUACUGGGUGUAAAGGGCGAGUAGACGGCGCUGUAAGUCAGCUGUGAAAACUUAGGGCUCAACCUUAAGCCUGCAGCUGAAACUGUAGUGCUAGAGUGCAGGAGAGGUAAGCGGAAUUCCUAGUGUAGCGGUGAAAUGCGUAGAUAUUAGGAGGAACACCAGUGGCGAAGGCGGCUUACUGGACUGUAACUGACGUUGAGGCGCGAAAGUGUGGGGAGCAAACAGGAUUAGAUACCCUGGUAGUCCACACCGUAAACGAUGGAUACUAGGUGUAGGCGAGAUAUCGUCUGUGCCGGCGCAAACGCAAUAAGUAUCCCACCUGGGGAGUACGGCCGCAAGGUUGCAACUCAAAUGAAUUGACGG